rnacentral:rRNA from 1 species
CCUACGGGUGGCAGCAGUAGGGAAUAUUGCUCAAUGGGGGAAACCCUGAAGCAGCAACGCCGCGUGGAGGAUGAAGGUUUUCGGAUUGUAAACUCCUUUUGUUAGAGAAGAUAAUGACGGUAUCUAACGAAUAAGCACCGGCCAACUCCGUGCCAGCAGCCGCGGUAAUACGGAGGGUGCAAGCGUUAUUCGGAAUCACUGGGCGUAAAGAGGGCGUAGGCGGGAUAGCAAGUCAGAUGUGAAAUCCUAUGGCUUAACCAUAGAACUGCAUUUGAAACUGUUAUUCUUGAGUAUAGGAGAGGUAGGUGGAAUUCGUGGUGUAGGGGUAAAAUCCGUAGAGAUCAAGAAGAAUACUCAUUGCGAAGGCAACCUACUAGAACAUAACUGACGCUGAUGCGCGAAAGCGUGGGGAGCAAACAGGAUUAGAUACCCGAGUAGUC